rnacentral:rRNA from 1 species
CAGCCGCCGCGGUAAUACGGAGGGGGCUAGCGUUGUUCGGAAUUACUGGGCGUAAAGCGCACGUAGGCGGCUUUGUAAGUCAGAGGUGAAAGCCCGGGGCUCAACCCCGGAAUUGCCUUUGAGACUGCAUCGCUUGAAUCCAGGAGAGGUGAGUGGAAUUCCGAGUGUAGAGGUGAAAUUCGUAGAUAUUCGGAAGAACACCAGUGGCGAAGGCGGCUCACUGGACUGGUAUUGACGCUGAGGUGCGAAAGCGUGGGGAGCAAACAGGAUUAGAUACCCGCGUAGUCCCUGUCUCUUAUAC